GCGGCCCAGAGUUCGCAGGUCUGGGGCUCUCUUCCCAGAGAGCUCGUAGGGGAGGACAGUCAAGGGACUCAAGCGUCUCUCUUGACUCCCCUUCUCUCGCUGUGCAGUGGCGGCGCCGAGGGGUCGACGCUCAGGGCUAAUCUCUAUGAGUCACCCUCGAGGCCCCGGGUAAUAUUGGGUGGAUCACAAGAACUAAUCUUUCAUGAUUUGGAAACCGGAAGGAAAGAAGCACUUUUGUAGCUGACUUACCUCAAUGACAUGACCAGUGUCUGAGCCUACAACUGCGCUAUCUUCCCUGGAUUUUUCUUCACCUUUUCCUUACUCAUGAGCCAGGUAUGUGUUUUUAGUUCCAUAAAAAAGAGCCCUGGCCAGGCGUGGUGGCUCACACCUGU
rnacentral:lncRNA from 10 species